rnacentral:misc_RNA from 1 species
GUUGAAGAACGUAGCGAAAUGCGAUAAGUAGUGUGAAUUGCAGAAUUCAGUGAAUCAUCGAAUCUUUGAACGCACAUUGCGGCCAUAGGUAUUCCUUUGGCCAUGCCUGUUCGAGCGUCAUUUACACCCUCAAGCCUAGCUUGGUGUUGGGCGUCUGUCCCGCCGUUUUCGCGCGCGGACUCGCCUCAAAGUCAUUGGCGGCGGUCGUGCCGGCCCCCUCGCGCAGCACAUUUGCGCUUCUCGGAGGCCCGGCGGAUCCGCGCUCCAGCAAGACCUUUCACGACUUGACCUCGGAUCAGGUAGGGAUACCCGCUGAACUUAAGCAUAUCAAUAAGCGGAGGA